UACGGAGGAUGCAAGCGUUAUCCGGAAUUAUUGGGCGUAAAGCGUCCGCAGGUGGUUUUGAAAGUUUGCUGUCAAAGCGCGAGGCUCAACUUCGUAUCGGCGGUGAAAACUUCAAGACUAGAGCUAGGGAGGGGUCACGGGAAUUCCCAGUGUAGCAGUGAAAUGCGUAGAUAUUGGGAAGAACACCAGCGGCGAAAGCGCGUGACUGGGCCUGAGCUGACACUCAUGGACGAAAGCUAGGGGAGCGAACAGG
rnacentral:rRNA from 1 species